GAACUGAAGAGUUUGAUCAUGGCUCAGAUUGAACGCUGGCGGCAGGCCUAACACAUGCAAGUCGAGCGGAUGAAGAGAGCUUGCUCUCUGAUUCAGCGGCGGACGGGUGAGUAAUGCCUAGGAAUCUGCCUGGUAGUGGGGGACAACGUUUCGAAAGGAACGCUAAUACCGCAUACGUCCUACGGGAGAAAGUGGGGGAUCUUCGGACCUCACGCUAUCAGAUGAGCCUAGGUCGGAUUAGCUAGUUGGCGAGGUAAAGGCUCACCAAGG
rnacentral:rRNA from 1 species